GUAGGUCCUUACUUUCAAGUUUUAGCAGCAGGUUCUAGUUGAUUAACUAUUCUAGGUAAGCACCUAUUCUAAGCAAGCAUGUUAAACAAGCAAAAUUAACCAAGCAAUCCAUAUUAAUCAUCAUUCUUUGUUCCACUUCUUACUCAGUGUAGAAUAGUGAUCAAGUGGUCUCAAACUGUGAGAGGCAAACGAUUCGUAUCGAGUUUCAUAACCUUGCAAGGUGAAACUAAAGCCACGACAGAUGCGUACCACAAGGGGUCCACACAUGUCAGCCGUCCCC
rnacentral:lncRNA from 1 species